rnacentral:rRNA from 1 species
UACGUAGGGUGCGAGCGUUGUCCGGAAUUAUUGGGCGUAAAGAGCUCGUAGGCGGUGUGUCACGUCGGCCGUGAAAACCUGCAGCUUAACUGUGGGCGUGCGGUCGAUACGGGCAUCACUGGAGUUCGGCAGGGGAGACUGGAAUUCCUGGUGUAGCGGUGAAAUGCGCAGAUAUCAGGAGGAACACCGAUGGCGAAGGCAGGUCUCUGGGCUGACACUGACGCUCAUGCACGAAAGCGUGGGGAGCAAACAGG